rnacentral:ncRNA from 2 species
UUUGUCACAUUGCUCUAAGGCUUCAUAGGGAAGUCCGGUGUAAUUCCGGCGCGGUCCCGCCACUGUGAUGGCCACGAAAGCCGCAAGAAGCCACUGUCCCGAGUUGUGUCGAGGGGCGGGAAGGCGCGGCGAGUAGGUUAAAGCCUAAGCCAGGAGACCUGCCUUAGAGCCUCUGAACCG